rnacentral:rRNA from 1 species
CCUACGGGUGGCAGCAGUGAGGAAUAUUGGUCAAUGGACGAGAGUCUGAACCAGCCAAGUAGCGUGAAGGAUGACUGCCCUAUGGGUUGUAAACUUCUUUUAUAUGGGAAUAAAAUGUUCCACGUGUGGGGUUUUGUAUGUACCGUAUGAAUAAGGAUCGGCUAACUCCGUGCCAGCAGCCGCGGUAAUACGGAGGAUCCGAGCGUUAUCCGGAUUUAUUGGGUUUAAAGGGAGCGUAGAUGGGUUGUUAAGUCAGUUGUGAAAGUUUGCGGCUCAACCGUAAAAUUGCAAUUGAUACUGGCAGCCUUGAGUACAGAUGAGGUAGGCGGAAUGCGUGGUGUAGCGGUGAAAUGCUUAGAUAUCACGAAGAACUCCGAUUGCGAAGGCAGCUUACUAAUCUGCCACUGACAUUGAUGCUCGAAAGUGUGGGUAGCAAACAGGAUUAGAUACCCCUGUAGUC